rnacentral:rRNA from 1 species
UACGGAGGGGGCUAGCGUUGUUCGGAAUUACUGGGCGUAAAGCGCGCGCAGGCGGUCUUCCAAGUCAGUGGUGAAAGCCCGGAGCUCAACUCCGGAACUGCCAUUGAAACUGUUAGACUUGAGGAUGAGAGAGGUGAGUGGAAUUCCCAGUGUAGAGGUGAAAUUCGUAGAUAUCGUGGAGGAACACCGGUGGCGAAGGCGGCAUCCUGGACCGAAAUUGACGCUGAGGCGCGAAAGCCAGGGGAGCAAACGGGG